CUUGCAGUCGACGAACUCUGGUAUUGAUUGGUGCUUGCAUCAUGAUUUACAUUUGAGUGAGUGGCGAACUGGUGAGUAACACGUGGGAAACCUGCCCAGAAGCGGGGGAUAACACCUGGAAACAGAUGCUAAUACCGCAUAACAACUUGGACCGCAUGGUCCGAGCUUGAAAGAUGGCUUCGGCUAUCACUUUUGGAUGGUCCCGCGGCGUAUUAGCUAGAUGGUGGGGUAACGGCUCACCAUGGCAAUGAUACGUAGCCGACCUGAGAGGGUAAUCGGCCACAUUGGGACUGAGACACGGCCCAAACUCCUACGGGAGGCAGCAGUAGGGAAUCUUCCACAAUGGACGAAAGUCUGAUGGAGCAACGCCGCGUGAGUGAAGAAGGGUUUCGGCUCGUAAAACUCUGUUGUUAAAGAAGAACAUAUCUGAGAGUAACUGUUCAGGUAUUGACGGUAUUUAACCAGAAAGCCACGGCUAACUACGUGCCAGCAGCCGCGGUAAUACGUAGGUGGCAAGCGUUGUCCGGAUUUAUUGGGCGUAAAGCGAGCGCAGGCGGUUUUUUAAGUCUGAUGUGAAAGCCUUCGGCUCAACCGAAGAAGUGCAUCGGAAACUGGGAAACUUGAGUGCAGAAGAGGACAGUGGAACUCCAUGUGUAGCGGUGAAAUGCGUAGAUAUAUGGAAGAACACCAGUGGCGAAGGCGGCUGUCUGGUCUGUAACUGACGCUGAGGCUCGAAAGUAUGGGUAGCAAACAGGAUUAGAUACCCUGGUAGUCCAUACCGUAAACGAUGAAUGCUAAGUGUUGGAGGGUUUCCGCCCUUCAGUGCUGCAGCUAACGCAUUAAGCAUUCCGCCUGGGGAGUACGGCCGCAAGGCUGAAACUCAAAGGAAUUGACGGGGGCCCGCACAAGCGGUGGAGCAUGUGGUUUAAUUCGAAGCUACGCGAAGAACCUUACCAGGUCUUGACAUACUAUGCAAAUCUAAGAGAUUAGACGUUCCCUUCGGGGACAUGGAUACAGGUGGUGCAUGGUUGUCGUCAGCUCGUGUCGUGAGAUGUUGGGUUAAGUCCCGCAACGAGCGCAACCCUUAUUAUCAGUUGCCAGCAUUAAGUUGGGCACUCUGGUGAGACUGCCGGUGACAAACCGGAGGAAGGUGGGGAUGACGUCAAAUCAUCAUGCCCCUUAUGACCUGGGCUACACACGUGCUACAAUGGAUGGUACAACGAGUUGCGAACUCGCGAGAGUAAGCUAAUCUCUUAAAGCCAUUCUCAGUUCGGAUUGUAGGCUGCAACUCGCCUACAUGAAGUCGGAAUCGCUAGUAAUCGCGGAUCAGCAUGCCGCGGUGAAUACGUUCCCGGGCCUUGUACACACCGCCCGUCACACCAUGAGAGUUUGUAACACCCAAAGUCGGUGGGGUAACCUUUUAGGAACCAGCCGCC
rnacentral:rRNA from 2 species